rnacentral:rRNA from 1 species
UACGUAGGUGGCAAGCGUUGUCCGGAUUUACUGGGUGUAAAGGGCGUGUAGGCGGAGCUGCAAGCCAGAUGUGAAAUCCCGGGGCUCAACCCCGGAACUGCAUUUGAAACUGUAGCCCUUGAGUAUCGGAGAGGCAGGCGGAAUUCCUAGUGUAGCGGUGAAAUGCGUAGAUAUUAGGAGGAACACCAGUGGCGAAGGCGGCUUACUGGACUGUAAAUGACGCUGAGGCUCGAAAGCGUGGGGAGCAAACAGG